GUGCAGGCUGCCAAGGUUCAUCUCCUGUGUGCUAACCUACAGGGCCUCUGCGUGUGAGAAACAUGAAAACAGGCACGUGAAGACCUGCAGUGCUAUCGAUAACUUGGCCCCCAGCCUUCACCACAUGCCCAGCUCUGCCAGUGUGGAGACCUGCUUUGAUUGACUGACUUCCUAGAGAAGAGCAUCAAGCCAGGACUUCUGCAAAAGACAGGCACAGUUCUUCCCCUCCCUUUAGGGGUAGGAGCUGGAUUAGAGUGGGGAAGAAUGGGAACAGCAGAAAUCAUCCUCGCAGGAGAAGGAGGGAACUGACAGAGCCUUGUAUCUCAGGCCAUGAAAAGUAGCACUGAGAUAUGAACUGCCCUGAACAGAUGCAGCUGGUGUGUUUGACUGUGAUAAAUGGUGGGAAAGCAUGCCAUAUCUUCCCUUAGGAAUGUGUUUAUUGGUUGAAAUGUUGCAUCUGAUACCAUUUUUUACUGGCCACAUGAUUAAGAUCAGAGUCAAGAACACAACUGUGCAGAUCGCAACCACUGGGACCAUUGCUGUGCACUGAGAUAACCAAAAAAGAGCUUGAAGAGAUUUUUGACUGAAAACAGGGAUUUAAAAGAAAAGAGUGGAUGCCCUUAAACACUUUUUCCCUGAAGGACUCUAAAUGUUGUGGUGAUUGCUAUUUGACCUGACUGGCACUGUCUGAAUGAGAAGGGGUGGAAAUGAUGUUUGGAGCUGUCAAUAAGGAUUCUGAUUGAAAUACUGCAUGCCUCAAAGAAGCAAGGAGUGGAAGGCAAGUAGCUUUUGGCUUCAGUCUUGAACGGUUAAAAGGAAAAGAGUGCCAUGUAAUCAGAACUGAAAUUUCAUUAAAGGCAUAGAACAGAUUGUGUGGCUCUCAUUUACACCUGCACACAUUUGGAUUUGGUCCAUGAAGCCCAACUAACUGGUGGAGCUGAGCCUGGCUUCUUAUGCAUGCAUGGUCCCUGGCUCUGGCAGCAGUGGCGGGUGAGCUGCUAUCAGGAAAUGGGGCAUGUGUUUCUGUCCUCAGAUCUGUGUGCUAAGUGCUAGGCCUGGCCUGACAGAUGUUAAAGUGCCUCUGAGUAAGCAGGGAAAUUAUAUACAAAAGUUUCCUAUUACGG
rnacentral:lncRNA from 1 species